rnacentral:lncRNA from 1 species
AUCUAAAUUUCCAAAGCUCACUCUUACAUGUGAAUUAUGGCUUUUCAUAACUACACUGGAAUAUGUGUGAAUUGUAUUUGGGCAAACACCAAUAUUUUAAAAGAAUCUUAAUGUAUACAGAAAAGACAUCUCUAUUUUUUAUGUGGCUGUGAACAAAGUAACAGAAUUUUUGAACACUCCAAGAAGAAAUAUCAUUUAAUAUUUACUCAGGCAAAGAAAAAACUACAUGUCACGAACUGGCAUUUAUAUUAGUAUUAUGUAUGCUGGAAAAUUAUUUUAUUGUGUUUUGGAGACCAACCUUUUGUGAUAGCCUUAUUACAAGGCACCUCUGUGUAAACGAAAGAAAGGAUAUUUAAACACGUAGAAAUGAAUGUGCAUGACUCACCAGCACAGCUAACUCGAGAUUUUUCCUGCUUCAUAACCACAACUGAUGGGAAGAUUUAUCGCCACAGCUGCCUGCCCUCAACUUCUUUUCCUUCUAGUUGAAGGAAUCAAAUUUCUUUCUGGAGAUUAGUCACUUGUGGGGGUGUUGCCAACUGCAAAAUAUUUGUUAUGAAUGAGGUGCACUUCUCUGGUGCUGUCCUCCAGCCCCAAGUCAGUGAGUAAUUCUCAUCUCUUUGUGUGUUUUUCCCGCCUACUAUCAGGAACCAAUUUUAAUGACUUACACAGUCAAACUUUCUUUAGUUGUUACUCAAACCUAAAACUUCAGAUUGUAUUGUUUCUGGAACAUGAUAAACUCACAGAGAAAGAUGACGACUUUCUUCAAUUUCUGUGGGGGAAAAUGGCACUGGCAUUUAGACUGAGAUUGUGUUGAAAGUAGAUAUUGCUUCGGUUAUGAUGGCCAUUUUCGCCCUUUCCGCCGACAGACCCAGGAACUAGUGAGGAGACUACCAGGAGGGGCAAGACCAUCCAGAGUUGUGGACAUUGAAUUCCUGGCCCCCACACACCACUGGGUCACAAGAGGAAAUAGAGAGACCCCACCUGCACCCACUAAAAGAAGAUAUAGGAAGAAGACAGAAUAAGAUUUCAC